GGCUUGAUAGCUUAGUUGGUAGAGCAUUACACUUUUAAUGUAAGGGUCCUGGGUUCGAAUCCCAGUCAAGUCA
rnacentral:tRNA from 1 species